rnacentral:lncRNA from 1 species
UGAGUAGCCAGAAGAGGCCCAUUGGCAUCUGAUCAUUCAUCAUCAGAAGGGAGAGGUUGCUCUUCAGAGAGCUCAGCUUCUGCAGAGUCAGCUUGACCCACUGGCAGAGCUGCCCAGCUGUGGCCAACAGAUGGCUGAACUGGAGUCAGUACAGCUCUUGCCCACUUCCUACGAUCCCGGGGUCCUGGAAGGGAGGCUGCGUGUCAGCCUAGAGGCAGAGGAGAGAAGAUUCACUGACAGCGGGCCAAGACUGAACAAACUGGAAAGAGACAGCUGGAGGACAGUCGUCCUUUCUAGAUCUCUGUUUUCUGGUUCACAGAGAUGUGAAUACACUGCUUCCCACUUGUAUUGCUAAAGCCAUGAACAAGUCCACCCCAUGGAUUUCACCUUCAAACCAUCAUCCCAAAUAAAUCCAUCCUAUCUU